rnacentral:rRNA from 1 species
UACGUAGGGUGCAAGCGUUAAUCGGAAUUACUGGGCGUAAAGCGUGCGAAGGCGGUUUUGUAAGUCUGUCGUGAAAUCCCCGGGCUUAACCUGGGAAUGGCGAUGGAGACUGCAAGGCUAGAGUUUGGCAGAGGGGGGUAGAAUUCCACGUGUAGCAGUGAAAUGCGUAGAGAUGUGGAGGAACACCGAUGGCGAAGGCAGCCCCCUGGGUCAAGACUGACGCUCAUGCACGAAAGCGUGGGGAGCAAACAGG